GUGCCAGCCGCCGCGGUAAUACAGAGGCCCCAAGCGUUACUGAGAAUCACUGGGUUUAAAGGGUGCGUAGGUGGUCCGUUAAGUUCGUUGUGAAAGCCCUGGGCUCAACCCAGGAACUGCUUCGAAUACUGGCGGACUUGAGGCUAGUAGGGGUUACUGGAACUGACGGUGGAGCGGUGAAAUGCGUAGAUAUCGUCAGGAACGCCAAUGGUGAAGACAGGUAACUGGGCUAGUUCUGACACUGAGGCACGAAAGCGUGGGGAGCGAACGGGAUUAGAAACCCGUGUAGUCC
rnacentral:rRNA from 1 species